rnacentral:rRNA from 1 species
GACGAACCGUGCGAACGUUAUUCGGAAUCACUGGGCUUAAAGCGCGUGUAGGCGGGCCGGCGCGUCGGCCGCUGAAAUCCCCCGGCUCAACCGGGGAAGCGGCGCCGAUACGGCCGGCCUGGAGGGACGUAGGGGGGGCUGGAACUUCCGGUGGAGCGGUGAAAUGCGUUGAGAUCGGAAGGAACGCCCGUGGCGAAAGCGAGCCCCUGGACGUCUACUGACGCUGAGACGCGAAAGCCAGGGGAGCGAACGGG